rnacentral:ncRNA from 1 species
ACCAAGGAGUCUGACAUGCGUAAGAGUCAAAGAGCAUGUAAAUUCAUAAGGCAUAAGGAAGUUUAUUGGUGGGAUCCCCCUGAGGGGUGCACUGGAGAUCGACCUUGUUCUUUUGAGAAGAGUUCGAGUGUGAGAAUACCCAUAGAGACCCAAAAGAGGGUGAAUUAUGCCUAAAAGGGACGAAGACAGAGGAAACACUAAUGGAGACCCGUAGCAUUACUAAUAUGCAAAUAAUUCAUCUGACAAAAGCAUAGGGGUGAAAGACUAAUUGAAUUAUCUUGUAGCUGGUUCCCUCUGAAGUUUGCCCCAGGAUAGUUGGAUCUCGCAAGCAAGUUCUAUCGUCUAAAGCCAAUAAUUAAAGUCGUUGGAGGCGUAACGCCUUAGACAUAAUCUUAAACUUUAAUGAGGUAGGACGACGCAACUGCUUUGUUCAGCCACCCCAUAAAAUCCAGAGCUACAAGUGGGCCAUUUUUGUUAAGAAAAACUAUCAAUGUGGGAUAAACUAAAAGCCAGGUUACGGUGUGAAACUGUGCACUAACCUAGACCCUAAAAAGGGUGUUGGUCAAUUAAGACAGUAGGACAGUGGUCAUAGAAGUCAAAAUUGGCUAUGAAAUGUGUAACAACUCACCUGUCGAAUCAACUAUCCCUCAAAAUGAAUAACACUUAAGCACGCGACCUACCCCAGCCAUCGAGGCAAGUGACAGUCCCUGAUGAGUAGGAUGGCGCAACGAUCGCUGCAAAACUUUGGGCGCGAUCCCAGGCGAUGCGACCGUCGGUGUAGAUCUUGGUAGUAUUAGUUAAUAUUCAAAUGAAAACUUUGAAGGAUAAAAAAUGGAAAGGUUCCAUGUGAACAGCAGUAUAACAUGGUUUAGUCGAUCUAUGGUUUGGGGGAACCCCAACAGAUAGGGUAUUUUACGCAUACACUAAAAGAGAAUCAGGUUAAAAUUCUUGAACCAGGACAUGGCGGUCAAUGAUAAUGUUAGAAAGUCCAGAGACAUCGAUAGGAGCCAAGGGAAGAGUUAUCUUUUCUUAUUAACAUCCUGCCCACCCUGGAAUCGGCUCAGCCAGAGGUAGGGUCUAACGGCUGGAAAAGCAUCGUACGUCGCAUGGUGUCCGAUGUGCUCCCCGAGUCCCUUGAAAAUAUGGACCACUGAAUGUCGUGCAUGCCCGGUUGUACUCAUAACUGCAUAAGGUCUUCGAGAAAAACAACCUCUAGUC